AAUUAAAGCUUUACUUUUUUUCCCCAAACCCUACCCCGCGCUCCACUUUCCAAUUCCCUCUAAAACCCGUAUCUCUUCUUUUGCUAGCAGUGUCAGUUUCCUUCUGAAACCCUUGCUCUGAAACCCUUGCUGAUCUUCAAUCUCUGCACCAUUGACGUUCUCUGUUGCUCCAUCUCUGCGCCAUCUCUGUUCACCGAGCCGUAGAUCCUUGCAAUCGACCCACAUCUCUAAGAGCCGUUUCUGCUGCUUCUUCUCCUCAAGAUUGUGCUCAGUUUCCACAACAGUCAAAGGAACCAACAUUUUUGCUAGAUGGGUUGGCAUUUGGGGAGGGGACAUUGCAUUAGAAAUGGGAAGGUUGAGUUCAAGUUGUUAUAAUGACUCAAUGCGCGGUGAUCCAAGAACUUACACAGCCAUGAAAAACUUGUUUGAUUCAGGUUUAAUGACUUAUCGCGCUCAAAGAGAACAUGUGUUGCCCAAAAAGAAAUCAAACACCAUCAACUGGAGCUCUGUUAAGUGCCCGCAUCAAAUGAAUGAUGUAGAUUGUGGUUAUUAUGUAUUGAGAUACAUGAGGAGUUUGAUCCUUUCUGAACUCCCACAUCCUGUAGAUAAGGAUGCUUAUGACUUAAGUUGCAACUUCUUUAGUCAAGAUCAAGUGGAUGAGAUAAGGGAGGAGUGGUCUUCCUAUGUUCUUCAGAAUUUCAUUAUGAAUAAGUAGCACAAUUUUUUAUUGGGAUGAAAAAAGAGGUUUGCUGCUGAAUGGAAGUUCUAUGUUGCCUUUGCUACUGAGAAGGAAGACUAACUGCAAAGAAACAAGUUCACUGGUUGUUUCAUUUGGAGAAAUGGUAAUAGACUAUGCCUACCAUGAGAGGAAUGCCACUUACAAUGUAGUUGUUGGUAUCUAGUUUCCGGGAUCUUAGAUCUAUGGAAUUUGUUUAUGGACAAUUUUUAAUUAAUUCGGUUUCUAAGUGUAGUUUACAAUCAAUGUCUGUUUAUUUAGUUUGUGGGUAGAAUUUAUUUGAGAUCUCAGAACUAUAUGGAAUUUGUUAUGGUUUCAGCAAAUAUAUGGAUUGAGUAUCAACUAUGAAA